GUUCUCCAAACCGCGAUGAAAUUUCAACCUGCCCAACACGAUUACUGGUCCACCUAGAAAUGCCGUGGAGCGAUUUAAGAGCCUCGGAAAUUUCCUUUAAGGUCAGGAGAGAAGCUGGUAACAGAUGGGGCGAAGGAGGAAAAGUUCUUUUUGCGGCACCCUCACGCCUUCCCAGCCCUUUCGCGGUUUACUCGCUCCCCGGAAAGCAGGGCAUUCAAGCAGCCCUGAGGAGAGGUCCACAUGGUGAGCCACUGAGGGCCUUGCCAAGAGCCAGCACCAACGGUCCAGGUUUGGAGUGUACCACCUUGGAAGUGAAUCUUCCAGUCCAGUCAAGCCUUCAGAUGACUUCAGAACCGUCCAUGUAAGCCACUCUUGGAUUCCUGACCCACAGAAACUGUUGGAGACAGACAAACAUGUGCCUCCUGAUUGAAAAAACAGAACAUCACCUGUAGUCUUGCCAGUGAGAUCAAACUGAAGUCCAAUUAACCUCUGGAUCCAGCUGCCAAUUUGCAGGAAAUAG
rnacentral:lncRNA from 1 species